GUGAAUCAUCGAAUUUUUGAACGCAAAUUGCACUCUCCGGUUUUCCGGGAGAGUAUGCCUUUUUGAGGGUCGGUUUAAAAAAUAAUCUAGGCUUCUUCUUUUUUGGCGCUUCGGAAUUGAGUCAUCUUCCACCUUUCUGGGUUGUAUGCGACCUAAAAUUUUUCUUACUAUUUCUACGAACGUGUCUAAUAAUUUUUCUUGUACGUUCGCGACAUCUAAUUCGUAUUGGGGUCGACCGCC
rnacentral:misc_RNA from 1 species